rnacentral:lncRNA from 1 species
UCUCAAGACUCCUAAAUAAAGCAUUUCCCCUGUGUGGGCGACCCCUGGGUCCCAUGUGGGGUCAGUGUUUGGGUCUCUCUGAGAGGAUCAGGAAGGCUGCUCUUCCAGGAAGGGCUGCAGGGACCCUGGGAACCGGACCAGUCCAGCUCACAAGUAUGAAGAGAAUGUCGGGAGAGGAAGUGGUGGCUAUGAGUCAGCAUGAGUCAUCUCGUUCCAAUGAGAAUGAAGGCUGAGACAAGCGGUGCCUGAGCCCGUGCCUGUCUUCAGAUCUUCACAGCACAGUUCCUGGGAAGGUGGAGCCACCAGCCUCUCCCUGAAUAACUGGGAGAUGAAACAGGAAGCUCUAUGACACACUUGAUCGAAUAUGACAGACACUGAAAAUCACGACUCAUCCCCCUCCAGCACCUCUACCUGUUGCCCGCCGAUCACAGCCGGAAUGCAGCUGAAAGAUUCCCUGGGGCCUGGUUCCAACUGCCCACUGUGGACUCUGAGGCCUCUGCAUUUGCGGGUGGUCUGCCUGUGAUAUUUUGGUCAUGGGCUGGUCUGGUCGGUUUCCCAUUUGUCUGGCCAGUCUCUGUGUGUCUUAAUCCCUUGUCCUUCAUUAAAAGCAAAACUAAAGAAAACAGAAU